GGCUGGUUGGAAGGCUGUGAGUUAUGGUAACUGAUUGUUCAUUGUCAGCUGCAGAUCAAGCUUCUUGUCUACUUUUCCCCCCUUCUCACUAUUGCACUUGAUGAGUCUUAA
rnacentral:Y_RNA from 1 species